rnacentral:lncRNA from 1 species
GAUUAUACGGUUUCUUUAGUCUUCACCUGGUUACUGACGUGGUUUUUGUUCAUGUUUUGGUUUGGUUCGGCGUGCUCGGACGAAACUUGAUUCCAGCUCCACGUUGAUAUCUGCUGACUGUUGCUACCAAAGACGAGUGAUUGGAAUGUCAACUGAAUGGCACCAAUGCCGAAUAGGUUACCUGUAUUUUUUAGCGUGAUGCAUGCAGCACCUCCCGUACAUUUGAACUCGGGAGUCGGGAACCACCAAAGGAAGUCUUAUUGCAUCAAGGAUGCUGUAAGUAAAUUAACAUGAGCUCAGGUCUCUUAAUUUGUUGACUUUGUUUCAAACAUGAUGCUCACUUGCAACUACUUAAGUUUUGGACUUUUGAUUUGGCCUAGCGGAGGAACUAAAAACAAGAUGCUGAGUUAGUGGUGAAACGAUAAAGUACUUGAAACAAAACAAAGUAACUGAGAGAACUUGGUUUUUUAUAUUGCAUUGAAGAAGAAAUUCUACACUAGGAUAGUGAGCAGUUAAUAGACCAAUAUAACAUCCCAGUAUUGCAAUGGUGUCCUGACAAGAACUCAAUAUCUAAUGGAAGACAAAAAUGCUUAUCAGAGCGUUAGAAUUUUCAACCAAUAACUGCACGAAUCUAUACCAAAUUCAAUAUCGAACUUACCUAGUCAUCUGUUCGAUACACCCAAAAACCUUUUCGUCGACAAUUAUUGCAUUUUGAGAAAAAGUAUAAGUUCGUAACUUCUCUAACUUGACAUAACUGUGGUCGUCGACCGCUUGUGAAACGGAAUCAGUGUGUGAUGGACAGCUGACAUCUAGUGUAAUACAGAAGAAAAUCAUACUUCAAGCAAGAAAUUGUCAUUUGCCUCAGAAGCUGGAUGUAAUAGAUGGAGAAGAACGAAAACAGGAUGAAGAAGCCCCUAAAUCAGAAUUUAAGCUGAAAUUCCACAUACGUUACACACACAGGAAGCUGUUAGAUUCGUGCCUUUGAGGAUAGCUGAAAACCAUCGACCUCAAAGCUAAUAAAAAGGGAGUUGUUACAAGACAAUGGCCGAAAUUUUCAUGAUUAUUCACCUUCUCUCAUUGUGGUUUACAUCUAUUUGCGAGGACAACGAUGCCAACUACAAAGCCGCACUUGGUAAUGUCCUCAUGACAAUGAAUUGAGGCAGUCCGCCCGCCGUGAUUGCACCUUUUCAAGGGGUUACAUUCUUCGUAAAGAGUUUAAGGUUAUGAGAAUAGUAGUAAGGGGACACUAUUACUCCAAUUGAAAAUGAAUGGAUACAGGUAAAAAGUUUAGAAGACACUUUAAUUGGAUCACCUUGCAACCUCUUACUUUGAUUUGAAAGUAAUUCAAGUAGGUCGUCCUAAUGCAAUGAUUUCUGAUUUAAUUUUUUUAAUGUCUUUACAGCCCUCAUGCAGCAUUGCAGCCACCAUGUAGACAUCUUAAAACAUGUUUUAGGAAAUGCAAACUUUGAUGCAUUAUUCUUAUCUUGAGGUUAAAUCGAUCCGCAAAGAUAAAAUGCUUGAGGUAUUCCGCCUCGUCCGGCAACUUACCAUCCAGCAACGCAUCCACCAACAGGAUAUAUUAAAGAGGAAAGUAAUUGACCAAAUUCCUACUCGACGAUUUCCAUGCAAGAUAAAUGUUAGAAAUCCAAAGAGAUCUGGUGAGCAGGAUGCAACGGACUAUGUCAUGUCAAACUAUUUGCUGAAUACAAAGAAUACCAUCAGUUCGCCAGAACGAGAGGUUAAUAAUCAUACUGAAUCAAAAGAGGCAUCAAAUUAAACGAGAUUUUAAAAUGAUAACAGUUGGAAGAGCACGUGGAAAUUUCGAAGAACGCUACAUAAACGUUACCUUAAGUCGCUGAUUCAUCUCGAAGAUAAAAUAAGUUAUUUUUAUAAAUUGAA